GACGAACGCUGGCGGCGUGCUAAACACAUGCAAGUCGAACGGUAAGGCCCUUCGGGGUACACGAGUGGCGAACGGGUGAGUAACACGUGGGUGAUCUGCCCUGCACUUCGGGAUAAGCCUGGGAAACUGGGUCUAAUACCGGAUAGGACCACUGCCUGCAUGGGUGGUGGUGGAAAGCUUUUGCGGUGUGGGAUGGGCCCGCGGCCUAUCAGCUUGUUGGUGGGGUGAUGGCCUACCAAGGCGACGACGGGUAGCCGGCCUGGGAGGGUGACCGGCCACACCGGGACUGGGAGACGGCCCAGACUCCUACGGGAGGCAGCAGUGGGGAAUAUUGCACAAUGGGCGCAAGCCUGAUGCAGCGACGCCGCGUGAGGGAUGACGGCCUUCGGGUUGUAAAUCUCUUUCAGCACCGACGAAGCGCAAGUGACGGUAGGUGCAGAAGAAGGACCGGCCAACUACGUGCCAGCAGCAGCCGUAA
rnacentral:rRNA from 1 species